rnacentral:rRNA from 1 species
AUUGAACGCUGGCGGCAUGCUUUACACAUGCAAGUCGAACGGUAACAGGCCGCAAGGUGCUGACGAGUGGCGAACGGGUGAGUAAUGCAUCGGAACGUGCCCAGUCGUGGGGGAUAACGCAGCGAAAGCUGCGCUAAUACCGCAUACGAUCUCUGGAUGAAAGCGGGGGACCGAAUGGCCUCGCGCGAUUGGAGCGGCCGAUGUCAGAUUAGGUAGUUGGUGGGGUAAAGGCUCACCAAGCCAACGAUCUGUAGCUGGUCUGAGAGGACGACCAGCCACACUGGGACGGAGACACGGCCCAGACUCCUACGGGAGGCAGCAGUGGGGAAUUUUGGACAAUGGGCGCAAGCCUGAUCCAGCAAUGCCGCGUGCAGGAAGAAGGCCUUCGGGUUGUAAACUGCUUUUGUACGGAACGAAACGGUCCCGGUUAAUACCCGGGGCUAAUGACGGUACCGUAAGAAUAAGCACCGGCUAACUACGUGCCAGCCGCCGCAGUAA